CUUUAUUAGAUAUUGUUUAGUUUAGUCUUGUAAUGUCUGUCCUAUAAUCAAUUAUAAUCAGGAAACCAGAUACAUGUGACCUCACUAUGUAAUCCCACUGUGGGAUCCAGAUCAUUUACAGGUCCCACACACUUUCACUUUGCUUUCUAGUUCUGUAAGUUCAGUAACAUUCACUAUCACUCAUGUAUCAAGAUGGGUGUUUAUGUUGUUAAAAGACAAAAUAUAAGCAUAGCAUGAAGAACAAAAAUAAGAAGCAUCACACACACACACACACACACACUGUAAUUAACAAAGUUUUUUUUUUUUUUUUUAAAUGUUGACACAGUGAUGUAUCUGCCUGAUGACCUGAGAGGCCUGAUGAUCAAUGAUCAAUGACACAUAUAAAUCUGAAUGGAGGGAACUUCUGCAAUCUCCGAUGUCUUCGUGGACUCCUCGUCUGACAAUUUCUUCUGUACUGAGGCCGCUGUGAGGUCUCACGCAGUCAGCAAGGAAAUUACUUUACUUUCAAUUUCAU